rnacentral:rRNA from 1 species
UACGUAGGCAGCAAGCGUUGUUCGGAGUUACUGGGCGUAAAGGGUGUGUAGGCGGUUCUUUAAGUUUGGUGUGAAAUCUCCCGGCUCAACCGGGAGGGUGCGCCGAAUACUGAGGGACUAGAGUGCGGGAGAGGAAAGUGGAAUUCCUGGUGUAGCGGUGAAAUGCGUAGAUAUCAGGAGGAACACCGGUGGUGUAGACGGCUUUCUGGACCGUAACUGACGCUGAGACACGAAAGCGUGGGUAGCAAACAGG